UGGGGAAUUAUUGCACCAAUGGGGGGGAACCCUGAUGCAGCCAUGCCGCGUGAAUGAAGAAGGCCUUCGGGUUGUAAAGUUCUUUCGGUGACGAGGAAGGUUGAUAGGUUAAUAGCCUAUCAAAUUGACGUUAAUCACAGAAGAAGCACCGGCUAACUCCGUGCCAGCAGCCGCGGUAAUACGGGGGGUGCGAGCGUUAAUCGGAAUAACUGGGCGUAAAGGGCACGCAGGCGGUGACCUAAGUGAGAUGUGAAAGCCCCGAGCUUUACCUUGGGAAAUUGCAUUUUCAUACUGGGUCGCUAGAGUACUUUAGGGGGGGGGGGGGAAUUCCCNNGUGNGGGNAAAUCGUAGAGAUGUGGAGGAAUUCCGAAGGCGAAGGCAGCCCCUUGGGAAAGUACUGACGNUCAUGUGCGAAAGCGUGGGAGCAAACAGGAUUAGAUACCCUGGUAGUCCACGCUGUAAACGAUGUCGAUUUGGGGAUUGGGCUUUGAGCUUGGUGCCCGUAGCUAACGUGAUAAAUCGACCGCCUGGGGAGUACGGCCGCAAGGUUA
rnacentral:rRNA from 1 species